CAAGAAACAAGUCUCUGUUCUUUUAAAUUACUCGGUCUCAUAUUCUUAGCAGAAAAUGAACUAAGGCAGUGUAUAUUUUGCAAACCUGGGUUCGUAAGCUGGGGUUUGUAUCACUACUGUAAUGGUCAUUGACACAUAAGGAAACUGAGGUCUAGAGAAGCUGAAUAACUGGGUUAGUGCCAUGUAACUACUAAGUUACUAAUGUGAGAUUUGAAGACAGAGCUUCCUGAUUCCAUGUGAUUCCAGAGCCCUAUGUUUGUGGUUGAAAGUCUUCACAUACCAAAGGGACCAGCCAGAUAAAGUUCAGGAAUGAAGUAUGUCGGGUCUUCGGAUCUUGGUCUCCAACCAUCACCGUAGUUUGUUUGCGCCUUUGCGGCUCACUCUUAGCCCCAGUGAGCGGGGUGGGGAGAAGAGGUUGCACAUGGGAACCAUGGGAUGGGAGGACAGCACAGAAGAGAGCUCAGGCUCCGUCGUAAGGGGGCAGUUGCUGCAAAGGUCACAAGAAAAUGCUUCCACCUUAAAAACAAAAAUCCAAAGUCCAAACUUUUCUGUAAAAUCUGACUUGGACACAUUUGAUUCUUUUACUAGGAAUUCAAAGGAGUGUCUAGCAAAAUGUGUCUCCACGCCCUUGGCUUGUGUCACUGCUCUAUCUCAGAGCCCCAUACCCCACCCCAGAAAAAAGGCCUAGAGCCUGAGCCUCGGGCAUCUAAAGAAGCCAGGGUUUGAGAUGCAGGGGUCUCUGCAGGAGGAACCAGAGCUUCCCUGAGGGCAGGACUGACUCAGCCUAUGGAGGAAGGAGCAGAAGAGGAUUUGGGAGGAAAGUUAAGCCCGCAUCAGUUUUCCCUCCUUCUCCCUUGGGCAGAAGGGGGCAAGGGUUCUCCUCCAUCGCAUGGGUGUUCUGGGAAGAGGUGGGUGGUGGGGAAAACUUGGAGUUCUUGCUGGUGAGGAGGAAGAGGGCUCUCCCAGCUGAGCUUCUGAAGGCCGCAAGGUGCUGGGGUCUGUGGUCUGGCCUGAACCCAUCUCCCCAACACGGGGUGCAAGGGCCUCAUCCCGCACCCCCAACAACACCACCCUGCAGAAGCUGCCUGGUUCUGCUCUUCCCCACACCCGACCUAGCCCAGGAGAAGGUUCAGCCCACCCACACACCCCCCUUCAGGGCGGCCAUGCUUAGCAACCCAGCCAGUGCCCUGUCUCUGCCCUGGCAAGAUGCUCUCUGGAAACCUCAGAAUGACUGGGCCCGCAGCCCCGCUUCCUCUCCUGACCGCAUCCUGCAGCACACAGCCCGGGCAGGUGCAGGAGGGCACUGCCCAGCGGCCCCUGCAACUGUGACCAGAACCCUCUUGGUGACACAGGCUGGGCAGAGGCGGGUGAGUGAAACACAGACAACCAACUUAGGGGGCCAAGCCUGGGGGCUCACCCCAGUGCCACAGGGGAAUAGAACCCCAAAACUGGGGCACACAGUGGGGCUCAGGCCCCGGAGUUACACGAGAAAGGAAGCCCCUCCCCCAGGUCACAAUAGCACCCUCUGGCUUCUAGAUGUUUACAAGUUCCUUUCUCCCUUCACUCUCCCCAGUAACUUCUUUCAUUUUUCCUUUCCCUUCCCUGUUUCUUUCUCUGUCUUCUUCAUCUCCUGGCUCCUUGGGUGCCUACAGGAUUUCAGGGGCCACAGGCCAGUGUCCUCAGGGGUGGGGUAGAUCACUGGCCCCUACUGACACAAGCAUGUGGCUCAUUCUUUGUGGAACCACCAAAGAGUGACAGCAGUGGGCUCCCUAGUCUAGCUCAGUGGCUUUCUGGGUGCCUUGGAGGAAGAGUCCUGAGGGUGGACGUGAUUGUGUGCACUUGUGUGGGGUGGGGAGCGGUGUGGCAGAGUGGCCUGGAGGCUCUCAUCUAGCCUGGGACCUUUCCUUGCUUCCUGUGGCCCUGCUGGUGGAGACUUGAAUCUCCCCUCCUGGGAGGGCAAAAUCUGACCCCUCUCACUGUGAGCCUAAAGCCCCUGCCUACUUCUGUCCCCUCUGGGGGUACCCACCACAAGCCCUCAUGCAUUCUAUGGGUGUUCUCUUGUUUCCAGAGACCCAAAGAGAGUUGGAACUUUAGGGAAGGAGUGAAUUGUGUUAAAAACAAUGGAAAUACAAAGAUAAAAGCUAAAUUCAGAAGCGGGGAGGCAGAGAUUGUCCAGUGGCUGCAGCCAGCCAGCACACCCCCUGGGAAAGCCCACACCUGCUUGGAGUCAGAUGUCUCAGGGUGGAGCCACUGUCUUCUCCCUGGCAGUGGUGUGUGUGGUAGAGAUGUCCCAGGCUCCUGGGAACAGGCUGAAGCUCAGGCCCAGUGGGGGCUGCAGGCCGAAGACAGGUUCCUGGCAACAGAAAGGGGAGGGAAGGAUCUGCCACCAGACAAAGUACAGCACAUUUAAUUAAAUGGUCUAGUUGGCUUCUAUUUGUGAUUCGUGAGUAGGGCAGGAUCCUCUAAAGACUUAGUAAAGGUGCUUAGAUGAGCUGAACAGAAGGGUGGGCUCUGUAGCAGAGGAGGAAGGCAGAAAGAGCCAGAAAGCAAUCAGGAAGCAUCAGGUUACUUGGGUUACUUUCCUGGUAAAGGUUAACUUCCUAAUCGCGCUGGCUGAUACUGGCCUGCUCAGGGAUUCAGCAACCUACCAUCUCCCUCUAUCUCCUGAUUUCUCAAGUCAGGUGAACAAUUUAGCUUUGGUUUGAUGGCACUGAACUUUAGUAUGAGUGGCUCCAUUUACGUUGGUUUGUUGGGCCAAGGACAGAAGCUCAGUCCACAUUCAUUGCCUUCUAUAGUUUUUAUUUAACAUUGUGAAUAACGCUUUCCAAAGGCCUGGCUCACUUGGGGCUUUUCAUCACUUUAUACUUUGUGACGAUAAAUAGCUCAGGUAUGUAAUAUAAGAGAAAAUAUGCAUUUUGAGGCUAGAAAUGUAGCACAGUGGCAGAGCACUUGCCUAGCAUAUGUAUGAGGUCCUGGGUUUGAUCCCCAGCACUGCAAGAUGUGUGUGUGUGUGUUGUGUGUUUUGGAGUCAGAGAGUCUUGGUUUCUUUAUCUGUAAAAUGGGUAUGCUAGGAGCCUCAUAGGACUGCAGCGAGGAUAAUGAAAUCACAGAGAUAGAAUGCUUUUUAGCAUCACUCUUUGCACAUAGUAAGCACCCAAGUGGUUUUUAAAAAAAGAUAUUUUCCCACAUUUUUAGUCUUAAAAAACCUUUUUCUUCUUGCUCACAUUCUAAUCACCAGAUUAGAUAAUAAUAAUAUAUCUUAUUAUAAUUUUAUUUAUGAAUAUAAUAACGCAAUUUUGUCUCGAUAAUUACAUCUUUCAUGGUCCAAACCUGUUCGUCAGUGACCAAGUUUCACUUCCUGUGGUUUUGUGAGUGGGGGCUUCGAAGGGCAACCUCCUUCCACAUGGGGGGCCUGGGCCAUGGCAUAGCUGAGCUCCUCAGAAACGAACAGUGCUUCACAACUCUGACUUCUUUUUUUUUUUUUUUUCUUUUGGUACCAGGGAUCAAACUCGGGUCCUUGCAGUUGCACAGCAGGCGGCAAAACCACUGAGCUAAAUCCCCGGCAUCUGACUUCUCUUAAGACACACGGCAUGAUGAGAAGGGAGUGUGUUCUGAAGGAAGGAUGCUUUUAAUUGCAGUCAGAUGCUGUCUAGUUCAACUGCAGUGGCCCAUAAACCUGGCCAUGUGUGACCUCCUCCUCAUCCUCUCCUCGCUCGAGCUUGGACCCAGCCGGCACUAUCCCAUUCCUCUGAGACUGGCUCUCGAAGGGCCUCAUUCUGGAGUCCAGGCUGGCCUUGAACUCAUGAUGCUCCUGUCUCACCACCGAGUGCUGCUGGGAUGUACCCAUGUGCCACCAUGCCUAGGCCCCUGGCAUAUUUUUUAAUCAUGUCAGUCCCUUGAAGAAAUCAGGUCAGUUGUCUCAUGAAAUAUCCUAUAUUCUGUGUCUUAUCUGCUUGUGUUCUCCCUCGUGUCAUCAUUUCUCAUGCCCCUAACCCUUUUAUUUCCUGUCACCUGAAUUUGGCACAAAAUGUUUGCCUAGAUUCAAAUUUAUCAUUUUGGGCAAGAAUACUCCGUGGAUGGUGCCAGACGCUUCAUCCUUCCCCUCAUGGAGUCAAGUAACAACCGGUUGUUUCUCUGAAUAGCGACGCUAGUUGAGCUGUUGGUUCCCCUCACCAUCCCACUGUGCCUGCCGGGCGUUACUGGGAAACCCUCUGGGUGCCCUCCUGGGAUUUGCACUACCCAAGCUCCCGGUAGCCUCUCUCCUGGUGGUGAGCAGCCAGCCACUGAUGAUUGUUGCUUGAAUCAAUUACUUUAUUAGAGAUUGUAAAGGUGAUUUUCUAUUUCUUUUAAAAUAUUUUUUACUGUUAAAAAGCAAUAGAAUUCAAGCCAGAUGUGGUGGUGCACAUCUGUAAUCCUAGCAUUCUAGGAGGCUGGGGCAAGCAGAUUGCAAGUUCAAGCACAGCCUGAGCGACUUAGCGAGACCCUGUCUUAAAAAAAGUAAUAACAAAAGGGGCUGGGGAUUUAUCUCAGUACAAAGGCCCUGUGUUCAGUCUCCAGUAAAACACACACACACAAACACACACACAUAUUAAACUUCAUUUAAAAUGGUCACCUUUUUACUGACCUAUCUUCCAAAUUCAGCCCGUGUUAUAAGAAAAUCCCACCAAGACACCCAUAUUGAUUUAUUAUUAUUAUUAUUAUUGUCUUUGUUUUGGUUUUGGUUGUUCUCUGGGAUUGGAUCUAGGGCGUUUAUCCUGAGAUACAACCCCAGCCCUUCUUUAAUUUUUUUUUUUUUAAUUUUUGGUACCGGGGAUCGAACUCAGUACAAUUUUUCAUUUUGAAACAGGGUCUCACUAUGUUGCCCAGGCUGCUCUUGAACUCGAGAUCCCCUUGGAGUGCAUGGGUUAGAGGUGUGUGCCACCACACCCAGCUUGAUUAAUUGUGUCAUAAAAGUGACUUCCCUGCUAGUGCAGCGUACCGGGGAGCCCUCAGCAGACCUGCUUAGUCCCUCUCCCUCUCCCAACGCGCUCUGAGAGUGCAGACAGGACGUAUGUAUGGCUCUCUGUGUGGGCUCACAGAGAGACAGGCUCUUAGAUGUCAAAAGCAUUUAGAAGUGUGCCGAUAAAUGUAUUUUACUUGCCCAAGUGAUGUAAGUAAGUUGUUUUCUCCUUGGUCUCCUUUUGAUGAGUUUGUUUAUGAAUUGUCUCUUUUUUUUGGUGGGGAGGGAUUGUUUUGCCUCGGUUGUUUAAUUUAAUUUUUUUUUUUUGGUACUGGGGAUCGAACUCUGGACCUUGCGCUUGCAGGCAGGAGGCUGAACCACUGAGCUAAAUCCCCAGCCCUUGGUUGUUUAAUUUUAAAUUAAUAAGCAUGUGCUUCUAGGCUUUUGGUGGGCAUAUUUCAUAAAAUAUUCUUUAAAAUUUCACAGCAGUGUGUUAGAGAAUUCUCUGGAGGGCAGGCCGGACUCUCACUCCAGAGAGACGGUGUCUCUGUCUGUUCACCGUCUGCCACCUCGUCGACACGCUGGCCAAUCAGUGCCCCCAAUCAGUGAUACACAAGUGACCAGUUCACAGCACAGCACUUUUUAUGCUUUUUAAUUUCAAGAAAAAGACACAGAGAAAGAAAAAACUCAAAGUCUACACAGCACGCAGUUUUAUUUCCCUCUUUUACACCCGUAAAUCCAUAAUUUCCAUCUUCUUUUUGUUGGGAUGGAGACUCAAAUAAUAAGUUGUUUUGUGGCUUUGGGAAUUUACUUCAUUUCUUUACCCCUGUGACUCUGCAUGCUUUCAAGGCCACGAAACAUAGUAACACAAAUUAAAGGUUUGUGGCAUCAAUGAAUUUGAGAAGACAAAUCCAAAACUAUGGUAGGAUUCAAUUCCAUUUAGCAAAUGUUUCUAUCGUUUAUUUUCCUCAUGAUAAUUAUUGUACAUAUAAUGCUUAAGUAGGCCAGAUAAUUUUUUUGUUGUUGUUGGGAUCGAACUCAGGACCUUAUGCUUGUGAGGCAGGUGUGGUGGCACUGAGCCAAAUCCCCGGCAAGGGCCAGAUAAUUUUAAAUACCCCUUAUACCCUAUGACAGAAGUGGCAAACCUAUGACACACAUGUCAUUUGUUUUCUUCUAAGAUAAAAGAUAUUAGCAUAUGAGUUUUUUUCUAAACUAAAACCUCUGUAUUCAGUUUAAUUGCAGUGUUGUCACUUUGUGAAAUAAGUGGGUUUUGGGUUACAGUUUGGGCACUCGCCUCUAGAAGGUUCUCCAUCACUGGCCUGUGAGCCAAAGCAGAUGAGGAUUCUGAGGAAAGAGAAACUUAAACUCGGUCACAGGCAGCGAGAGGCAGAGCCGGCUCUCAAACAGUAUCGGCAGCAGAGUUUGUGCCCUUAGCUCCUGCAUGUGGUCACUAACAAGCACUUACUUUCAUUAGGUACCGAGCUACUUUUCAAAGUGCUUUCAGAGUGCAUUUUCACAAGUCCUCAGCAGAUUCAGUCUUUUGAAGGGUCACGUGAUCACACAGGGCAGGAGAUGGGACCCUGAAGGAGGGGGCGGGGAAAGGGGGGUUGUUCAGUUUGAAACACACAUUCAAAGCUGCCUGAGCUGACAGGAAAGAGUCACUGCAGCAUAUUUAUAAAAACAAAAACUCCCAGGCAACUUCAACGUCUAAUAAAGGAAGGAUGGUUUAGUUACACUAUGGUCUAGUCACUGAAUGAAAACUUCGAGAAUGACAGUUAUGACUACAUCGAGGCAUCAAAAGAUGUUUAGAAUGUUUUGCAAAAUAAAGCUGAACACACAGAUGACAGCAAUGUAAAAUGUGAUCGCAGUAGAGAAGGGUCAGAAAGAGGAGGCACAAAAGUGAAAAUUAUUGCAAUUUGGGUGGAGGACCUUGAGUUAUUUUAUUCUUCAUAUUAUGUUUUCUCUCUUUGUGGUUAUAAUUUUAGAAAAGGAGACCCGGAAAGAUUUGGGGCAAGAGUUUAUAUAAAGAACAAGACUUGAUUAAAAAAGAAUUUGUCUGGCCAGACGAGUCGGCUACACUGGUCUAUGACUUUGUGUCCCAGGAUCCCGGAUGGGUGCUGCCUGGGGCUCCCUGCUUGCUUUGCAUCUGCAGGUUGUUUGGGGCAACAGUGAUAUGAACAGAGGGAAAAGGGGACUGUGCCCUUCGCAGACAGUCAUUUUCAGAGCAGAGUGGGCUAGAUGAAUCAGCCCUGUCUAGCACAUCCACCCAGGGCAAACCACAGCCUCUGCCCAGAGCCGGGCAGCCCCAUCUCAAGUCUGCGCUUCAGCUUUGCUGCCUAUUGAAGCCAAGCAGCAUCUUCCCCAGCUCUGCCUCUCGCCAGCUAGGGCUACCAGGUUCCCGGGGAGCAGUGGGGUCAGCACUGCUUCUCCCUAGUCCUGCCCGGCACCCAUGGUGCGCGAACAUACUGUCCACCUCCACCGGGAAAGGGUGCUGGUCUGGGAACAGAAGCAACGUGAUUUCCAUGCAGGGUUAGUGACAGACAGCCGUACCCUGACGCACCCUUAGAUUUAAUAGUGACUAAUGACAAACUGUGAGCCAGGCACCAGCACACCGGUGAGGACUGAGGGGGGGGGUUAAGCCUGAAACUAGAAGGCAUGAAUUUUAAACUCCACUCCCACGUGUGUGACCUUGGCAAAUUCUGGACUCUUGGACUUGGUUCCCCUGCCUGCAAAAUGGGAGCAAGAACUUUAGGCAAAUGAUAUAAAUUUUUCAAGACUUUUUUUUUCAAUCUGUAGAACAGGGACAAUAAUAUCAAAAUUUUGUGAAAGUAACAUCUAUAGGGCUGUUGGCUCAGUACCUCUUAUGUAGUAUGAGCUCAAUAAAUAUUAGUCAUUGACUUAACACCUACUUUAGCGGGAUGCUGCAGUGAGACAUGUAUAAGCGGUCUUUAAAAUAAUACACUAAGAUCAUAAAAUAGUUUUCAAGUUGGGCAGAUACCAAAUCUUUAUUUUUUUUUUUGGUACCAGGGAUCAAACUCGGGACCUUGUGCCUGCCCUGCAGGUGGUGGCCCCACCAAAUCUUCUUUAAAAAUGAUAACGCCUAGUGUUUGUGAAGGGUGUGGUGAGCGGGUGCUCUGGAUGAACUUUAAAGCAUGUUGGUAUUUUGGCAGCUGAACAUACUGUUCACACAUUCUACGCAGUUCACCAUCGUAAUAUCACUUCUAGAAAUCUGUCGAGAGAAAAGAAUCAGAAAUGAGCAGUAAGAUUUUUGUACAAGGAUGUUCAUCACUGAAUUGUUUAUAAAUAAAAAAAGCAUAAAGUAUUAGGGGCUUAAAUUUAAAAGAUUACAUUUAUAUCAUAUGCAAUGUAACUUUAAAGACAUGUUUUAGAAUAACACUUAAUAAUGUGAUAAAAUACAUGUCAUUAAGUGAAGAAAACAGGCAACAAAAUAAUGAUUGUAAAUACAGUAGCAGGGCUAUGGGUGGAUGUAGCCCAGUGGUAGAGCCCUUGCCCUGGGUCAGAUCCCUAGUGCACACAUGAAAAGUGCGCCUAUGUACGAAUAUAUAAACAAAUAGCUACUGAAUGUCAACCAUUUGGGAAUAUAAUUGAUUCAGUCUUUGAUCUCAUAGAUGAACCCCAAUUUAUCUGGAGAAAAACAUAUACAUGCGUAUUUUUAUAUAUAGAGAAAAAUAUAGUAUCUUCAUGGUGAAAUAAUAGGUGUUUUUUUUAUAUUUUCCGGUGGUUUCCUUUUUCAAAAAACAAAGAAUCUGGGUGUGGUGGUGAGCACCUGUGGUCCCAGCUACUUGGGAGGCUGAAGCAGGAGGAUGGCUUGAGCCCAGAGUUUGAAGCCACCUCUGCCCUGGAGCGGAACCCCCGUAUUAAAACACCAAAAGAAGGAGAGCGGGCAUGAUUUUAAUAAUCAUGGGGGAGCUCUUGACAUUUUUAAGGGGAGGGAGAGGUCAGGGGACCUGGCACUAUGUGUAGAGGGUGCCCCAGCAGCAAGCUAUCCGAGCCAUGUUGGGCUGAGACUGUCCCCAGGCCUCAGUCUCAUCAGCAAACACAUGAAGCUGAUCAUUCCUGCUUGCCACAGGUCAUGAGAAUCCAGGAAAUCAUGUGCAUGUGCUUUUUAAAAUACACAAUGUGCUACACACUAAUAUUAGGUUCAGCAGGUGGCUUCCCACCUCUGGCCCUCCGCAUCGUCAUUCUUAGAAUGGACAAAAUGAGCUUCCAGUUCUGAAGCCCAGUGACUUAACGUAAGUUCGAAUCUCAGAAGGUUCGAUUACAAACUCAGUGUGUACUCUCUGAUUUUGCAGAUAAUGGAGGGGAAGAAGGAUCUUACAUCUCUGCCUUCUUCUCCUCCAGUUACCGAGCAUUUCCUGGGCUCCUCGCCACUGGUGCCACUGGCGCCAUUUGGGGGUGGGGCUGGGGGAGCUCUAACAUGCAAGAUGUCCUCACAGUGUCCAGGGUCCUCGCUCAGCCCCUGGAUGGACUGGGUGGGUGGACUGAGUCACAUCCCCAUCACCCAGCCGUGCCAGCCUUCUGAACUCCCCAAAUCACUCAUCAGCCUGCAGGGGCCCUGGUUCCCACACUGUGCCCUGAGAACAGACCCAGGGGUCGAGGGAAGUGAGGAGAAAGCUCAGAAUUAGUCACAAGAAGCGAGACAGCCACAGAGCCCGUGUGCCAGCCUGUGCCCAGAGGCUGACCUUUCGGAACCUCCUGAGGCUCUCCCCAACACCUCUCCAAAGCUAUGACAUGGGGAGGGGACGCCUUGGCCCCUGAACACCAGCACAGAGCGCAGCACGGCGCGUGGGCUUCUAAUCUAAAGCACCCGCUGCUGACAAAGUGCUUUCAAGAACAUGAACAUUUCCUUUGAUCUGUGAGGCAGCCUGAGCAGAUACUAUCAGCUCCAUUGUUCAGAUGGAGCCAGGGAGGCUGAAGCUCAGGGGACCGAGGUGGGGGUGGACUUCAUCGUGAGGAGCAGGAGCCAGGACCAGGAUCUGACUUUAGCACCCGGGCUUUGGCAGCUUUGAUUUUUGUCAACUGCCCUUUAAAAAUGCUUGUAGAGGGCCGGAGAUUUAGCUCAGUGGUUUCACCACCUGGUGCGCAAGCACAAGGACCC
ensembl:lncRNA